rnacentral:misc_RNA from 1 species
UCCCCGAUUUCCGGGGCAGUCUCCCUAGAGUUCCCUUGCGGGUCCUCGGCCUUUCGACCUCGUACCACACGCAUGUCAAGCCCAGGUAAGGUUCUUCGCGUUGCGUCGAAUUAAACCACACGCUCCGCUGCUUGUGCGGGCCCCCGUCAAUUCCUUUGAGUUUUAGCCUUGCGGCCGUAGUCCCCAGGCGGAGCACUUAUCGCGUUAGCUGCGGCACCGAGGGGGUCGAUACCCCCGACACCUAGUGCUCAUCGUUUACGGCGUGGACUAC